rnacentral:rRNA from 1 species
AUGAACGCUAGCGACAGGCUUAACACAUGCAAGUCGAGGGGUAACAGGGUAGCAAUACCGCUGACGACCGGCGCACGGGUGAGUAACGCGUAUGCAACCUGCCUAUAACUGGGGAAUAGCGUCCCUGAAAGGGGGAAUUAACACCGCAUAACACUAUUGAUUCGCAUGGAUUGGUAGUUAAAUGUAAGCGAUACAGGUUAUAGAUGGGCAUGCGUGACAUUAGCUAGUUGGUGAGGUAACGGCUCACCAAGGCUACGAUGUCUAGGGGUUCUGAGAGGAAGGUCCCCCCACACUGGUACUGAGACACGGACCAGACUCCUACGGGAGGCAGCAGUGAGGAAUAUUGGUCAAUGGGCGCAAGCCUGAACCAGCCAUGUCGCGUGCAGGAAGAACCUGCCCUAUGGGUUGUAAACUGCUUUUAUAGUAGAAGAAACACAUCUACGUGUAGAUGUCUGCCAGUAUACUAUGAAUAAGCAUCGGCUAACUCCGUGCCAGCCGCCGC